GGCUCCUAUGGUCCAGCGGUUACGACCUCUCUUUUUCACGGAGAAAACGAGGGUUCAAGUCCCUCUGGGGUAUACUAAGACUCAAGACGAUAGGAGUGGGAUUUUCUAUCAAGUGAUCUAUAUUUGUCAAGUCCUUCUAAUAGUCUACUCAGUGGGACUUUGUAUUUUAGAUCAAGUGAUAUGUAUUUAUCAAAUCUGCCUGGGGACAAUAUUGUGGAACGUCUAAAAUAAAUUAGGCGUUGGGUCGAUGCCCGAGUGGUUAAUGGGGACGGACUGUAAAUUCGUUGACAAUAUGUCUACGCUGGUUCAAAUCCAGCUCGGCCCAAC
rnacentral:tRNA from 1 species